rnacentral:rRNA from 1 species
UACGGAGGGUGCAAACGUUGCUCGGAAUCAUUGGGCGUAAAGCGCGCGUAGGCGGUCCAGCAAGCGGGGAGUGAAAGCCCUCGGCUUAACCAAGGAAGUGCUUUCCGAACUACUGGACUUGAAUACUGAAGAGGAUCGCGGAAUUCCCGGUGUAGAGGUGAAAUUCGUAGAUAUCGGGAGGAACACCAGUGGCGAAGGCGGCGAUCUGGGCAGAUAUUGACGCUGAGGUGCGAAAGCGUGGGGAGCAAACAGG